rnacentral:rRNA from 1 species
UACGGGGGGAGCAAGCGUUGUUCGGAUUUACUGGGCGUAAAGAGCUCGUAGGCGGCCACUCAAGUCGAAUGUGAAACCUCGAGGCUUAACCUCGAGCCUGCAUUCGAUACUGGGUGGCUAGAGUCUGGUAGGGGGAUCUGGAAUUCCUGGUGUAGCGGUGGAAUGCGCAGAUAUCAGGAGGAACACCGGUGGCGAAGGCGGGAUCCUGGGCCAGUACUGACGCUGAGGAGCGAAAGCGUGGGGAGCAAACAGG